rnacentral:rRNA from 1 species
GGCGAACGGGUGAGUAACACGUGGGUGAUCUGCCUUGCACUCUGGGAUAAGCAUGGGAAACUGGGUCUAAUACCGGAUAGGAACCGUCUUUAGUGUGGUGGUUGGAAAGUUUUUCGGUGCAAGAUGAGCUCGCGGCCUAUCAGCUUGUUGGUGGGGUAAUGGCCUACCAAGGCGUCGACGGGUAGCCGGCCUGAGAGGGUGUACGGCCACAUUGGGACUGAGAUACGGCCCAG